AUUGAACGCUGGCGGCAGGCCUAACACAUGCAAGUCGAGCGAGCGGCGGACGGGUGUGUAAUGUAUGGGGACUCCCCGAUAGGGGGGGAGAACUCCAGUAAACGGUAGCUAAUACCCCAUACUCUCGGAUAACCCAUAGGGGAGUAGCUAGUAGGUGAGGUAUUGGCUCACCUAGGCGACGAUCACUAACGGGUCUGAGAGGAUGAUCAGCCACACUGGGACUGAGGCACGGCCCAGACUCCUACGGAGGCAGCAGUGGGGAAUAUUGCACAAUGGGCGCAAGCCUGAUGCAGCCAUGCCGCGUGUAUGAAGAAGGCCUUAGGGUUGUAAAGUACGUUCAGUCGGGAGGCGUUACCGACAGAAGAAGCACCGGCUAACUCCGUGCCAGCAGCGGCGGUAAUUC
rnacentral:rRNA from 1 species